CUCUGAGAAACGUAAAUUAACUUUGAAGUUGGUCGUGUUCUGAGCAGUAAUUCUUCCUUCACCCUUAGCUUUUGGCAUAUAAUUCCCUGAAAGCUCACCCGUAACUUACGGCAAGGUAAUUGCCUUCUCUGAGCAUAGCAUAUCUGAAUGCCACUUUCCAUGACUGGUCAGAUCACAGAGCACCUUUAAUGAUGCAGCUCUCUGGUAACAGAACAAGUUUGGCUUCUCCUGGUGCCUCACAGCAGCUGGAAACAAAGCUGAGUCCCCUCCAGGGCAGUGAGAGUGUGUGCAAGACGGAUAACUCUUCCACUGCAAGGCAAGAUGGAAAAGACUGCAGAACAAACAUGAAGGCUUUGCUCCUUUGCAGGCACAGGAAUCGUGCUUUUCUGUCCUUUCAUGUGAUCCGCCUACCACAGAAAGUUGCUAACAAGGACUUGGAAAGUAAAAUGUGCAUUAAAUGAACGGGUUUGGCAGAAGAAACAUCUGUUUAACUGGAGUGGAUGACUUCAGCUGCAAUGUGCUGCAGAGACCCAGAGCAGUGCUCAGCAGGAUGACCUCUGCCAGAUCAAUCUUCAGCGAGAGAACAUCUCACAAAGCAACUGCCCCACCUCUACCUGUCAUUUCUUGAGGAAGACCUGCAGAAAAUCAUAGAAUCAUAGAAUCACAGAAUGGCCUGGGUUGAAAAGGACCACAGUGAUCAUCCAGUUUCAACCCCCCUGCUAUGUGCAGGGUUGCCAACCACCAGACCAGGCUGCCCAGAGCCACAUCCAGCCUGGCCUUGAAUGCCUCCAGGGAUGGGGCAUCCACAACCUCCUUGGGCAACCUGUUACAGUGUGUACCACCCUCUGUGCGAAAAACUUCCUCCUAAUAUCUAACCUAAACCUCCCUGUCUCUGUUUAACAAGCCUAGGAAAUAAUAUUCAACUCUGUUGGCUACUAAAAGUCAGCAGAUCAGCAGUGCCACGUGCUUCACACUGUCCUGCAGUGCUUCAUGCACCCUGCAUCUACUGAUCCCUCUGUCCUCAGGUGCUCCCUGCUGGUGCUGCCACUGGACACAUCCCACCUCUCCUUGCCACCACCCUCUGUGGUCCACAGGUGUCGCCUGCUUAUGCUUUUACAGUGAUUUUACUAAAGGUAAACUGAACUCAAAGCGAUCACUCCUCACCAGCAUCAUGAUAUUUGCAGCCUCUGUCUCAGACUGGUAAAAGAGCUCGUCUGGCCAAGGUUGACAUACAGUUUUUGAGAGCCUAAUCAAAAAUUAGAGCUACAAUCAUUUCUUGUCUGUGUCCUGAGGCCUUCAGAGCCGUUACAAGAAUAAAUAAGUGAUCAGACAUAUCCUUUUCUCGUCGUCGCAGCAAGGCUUAGGCUCCCUUCUGGAAGGGAGCAGCUCAUAACAAAGGCAGAGCGUUCCUCUGCUAUCGCUGGUGGUUUUUGCAAAUGUGAAAGAUGUGCAGACAUAGCAGAGAAAAAAGAUAGCAAGUAAGCGCAGACAAACAUAGACGUCUUCACAGGAGGAAAAUUCCCCCACCCCAGUACAGACUUUUGGCUGAAGGAUAAUGUCUUUGUUCCCGGAUCCAAGAUGCUGUCACUCCCGUUUCAUUAUUCCUCCUCUAAAAGAAACAGACUUUUCACAUUCUUUGUAAAUGAAAGGGAUUGCAUUAAGUAAAAAACCUGUUUAUUGUUAGCUUUUCUUCUUAACAGAAACUGCCUGCAGGGUCCCUCCCUGUGGCCAGCAGUUUGACAGAAAGCAGUAAUAGUCCUGUGAGUGAAUCCAGUGUGGUAUGUGCAUCCUUUUAGCCAGGAUUAAUGAAAAUGAAGAAGAAGGAAGUUGUGCUGGGUGGAUGCUGGAGCAUUUGGGCAUUUUGGAACUGAUCAGCUAGUUGAGUUUUGAUAAGUUUGCAGAUAAGUGCUCCAGGACACCAUCAAGCCUCUCUCUCCACAUAGUUACAGCUCCAGGUCGUUAGAAGCCUGAAAGUCCUCUUUGCAAAGAUUAAAUCUGCCUCCUCCUCUACGAAUACUGGCACUGUAAGAAAGACUGCAAACUUAGGAACAUCCCAACCUGUCUUAUAAAAGCGAGACUGCACAUAAAAUGUUAUAUGCUAUUCAUUAACAACAUUUUAAAGAGCUCAGGAAGACUUCCAAACACGAGCUGAAGAAGAACAGCCCAUGCAGCUGGACCUCACGUUGUCCCAUGUUUAAAAGUCGUUAGAGGGACAAAAUGUAAAGUAACGUGAUGGGGCUGUCUUGCAAAUGAGUGGAAGUUGGAAAAUAUAACACUUCAAAUAGGACCAUCUCUUCCAGGACUGAAUGCUUGAUGAUACAGAGGUACAGUCCUUAGGUGGCGUAGACCUUUUCAUCGUCUCAGGUGAAGACUGCAGGGUUACAGAGAUGUGAAAUUAGGCCAUGGGAGACAAUAACUGUAUAAAAUAAGCCCCUGAUGAUGAGUGUCACAGUGGCAUAGCUGGUGGUUCAAACGGGUGGCACCUUGGCAGCAGGGUCCUCUGGCUUGGAGCUCCAAGAAAGCCUUGGUGUAUAACUGUUUUAUGAGACUUCUCGUGUCUGUCGCCAUGAACUUAUCAGAAACACUGGUCUUAUCACCGUGAGAUAAUACUAUUUAUUAAGGCUUAUAGUGUAACAACUGACACUCCUCACACUGUGUAUAAACUCUCCUUCGAAGUCUAAGAUUUAUAAAAAGAGAGUGAGGAAACACAGAUACUGGGGGGAUGGAAAGCUGUCAGCGAGAGCCCUUUGGCUGAGCCUGUCCUGUCGCCAGGAGGGUCUGUGCUCUCAGAACACAAGCACCAGAGAAGAGCAGCUCCAAAACCCAAUGGCUGCAUUGCUGCAGGCCACCGGCAUUGGUCUCUUUAAGCAAACAGCGAGGGCAGAGGGGGUGAAAGAUGGAGCCUGCCCAUCACCUGCGCCAUGUGGCUGAGAUGGAGCCAUGGGGAACCCGAGAAGAAACAAAGGCAUGGGAUCAUUUUAAAAGCUCCCUUUCACUGUCUGAGAGUUUACAAGCUCAGCAAACAAUCAUUUCUCUGUGGGUUUUGCUGGAGUUAAGUGGAAGGCUGUAAGGAGUCCUGCCACCUCUCACAGAGCCACAGCUUCAGGGGCUUCUGUGCUUCAGCCCUGCAGUCUCAAGCCCGUGUUGGAACAGGACCAGAAUGAAGCCCUGACAUAUGUUGCAGCCAAAGAUUUCCCAGGGUUCCCAAGACGGUUGCGGGAAGCCAAGCGUUCUUAAAUUCUUCGGAAAAUCCCAAAUGCACCCAUGAUGACAAAGGGCAGCUUCUGGUCUCACCCAAAUAGCAACCAGCUACAAGUCAGUCUAUUUGUCCUUCCAGUGACAUCUUAACAGCAGAGAUUAUGCAGAAGGCACUUUGCCAAUCUGUGCUGGCUCUUUCUGCAGCUGGUUGAUAGAGAAAGGAGUGGCUUCAACCAUCCGGCCCAAGGUUCUUUCAGCAUAACCUGCAUUCACUCAGCGAUUUGCUAACUGGAUAAAAAGUCUUGGUAACAUUCAAGACAGCAUGGCUUCACAGUGACAGCUAGCAGACAGCAAGAGUAAUGCCAUUCCCAGAGCUAUGACAAAACCUGCUGAAUAAGUAACUUGUUCUAAGUUAGCUGCCCAGCUAAAGCAUGGAAAUAUCUCUGAUGAACUGAUGAACAACUUAUAUCCAAAAGUAUUUUUAUGGACUGCAAAUUGUUGGCGAGUUGUCCAUAAUUCAAACAGAGAUGGUUUUGUUCAUUAAACAGUACUGCCAACCUGUACCGGAUAUCUGUGUUUAGUGGGCCUCAACACAACAAGGAUGGGCAAUUCCACAGUUGAAGGCUGGAUAACGGCAUUGCUCCAGGGGAGUUACUCUGGAUUUACAGUGUGGAGUGAGGUUGGAAUCUGGACAACUAAUAAGGGAUCAGUAAAUCUUCU
ensembl:lncRNA